GAUGAACGCUGGCGGCGUGCCUAAUACAUGCAAGUCGAGCGAACGGACGAGAAGCUUGCUUCUCUGAUGUUAGCGGCGGACGGGUGAGUAACACGUGGAUAACCUACCUAUAAGACUGGGAUAACUUCGGGAAACCGUAGCUAAUACCGGAUAAUAUUUUGAACCGCAGGGUUCAAAAGUGAAAGACGGCCUUGCUGCCACUGAUAGAUGGAUCCGCGCUGCAUUAGCUAGUUGGUAAGGUAACGGCUUACCAAGGCAACGAUGCAUAGCCGACCUGAGAGGGUGAUCGGCCACACUGGAACUGAGACACGGUCCAGACUCCUACGGGAGGCAGCAGUAGGGAAUCUUCCGCAAAGGGCGAAAGCCUGACGGAGCAACGCCGCGUGAGUGAUGAAGGUCUUCGGAUCGUAAAACUCUGUUAUUAGGGAAGAACAUAUGUGUAAGUAACUGUGCACAUCUUGACGGUACCUAAUCAGAAAGCCACGGCUAACUACGUG
rnacentral:rRNA from 1 species